AUAGACCUGACUGAAACUAAACAUUUUCUUAUCAGUUAUAAGAGAAGAAAAUUACUGUUUUUAAUUCAAAACAAAAAUAUGAGCGUGAUAGUCACAGUUGCUGUCUACUAUCUCUUUAAAAUGUGCUGAAAUAUAGUUUGGAAAUAGUAACAGGGAUGGUUCCAAGAAGAUUAGGAAGAGGAACAACUAAUACAAGAAUAAACACAUUUAUUAUUUUAAAAAGAACCAUUCAGCUCACUGUGAUUUACUGAGUUUUAAUAUUACUGUUAUUAGUUUUAGUACUACUGUCAGAGGUCCCAGGUGAAAAAACACGCCAACUUUUUUUUUUUUUUUUUUAAAACACAGACGCGACUGCAUAAUCCUACUUAAUAUUUCAUCCUUGUGUAACUAGAGAUGCGGCUGGUCAGGGAGGCAUUUAUACUAACAUACACUUACAGCUUUAUACUUACACUUUAUACUUAAUAAUAACAUAAACACAUGUCCACAAAAAAUAAUGUAGUAAAAUUAUAUUAUUUUAGCCUUGUGAAGUUGUAAAAGGUGGCAGUACCUAGAUUAUGAAUUCUACCAGUGACAGUUUCCUUUUGUAUAUUAUUCAGGCUUGCAUUGGAAGCUGAAAUGCUCACCUACCGGUGUAUUAUUUGUGUUUAGGGAAACCUGUGGUGUUUAAGGGAGAGGGUUGUUGGACACAGUUCUUCUAGUCAAUAUGUUUAUUGUAUUGUGUACAGUAAAACAGCUUUAAGGUUUUCGUUAAUACUCUUUGGUGCAGCUUAAGUUUUUCCAGUGUGGCUAAAAAAUGCUAAGUUACUUUAGCCACAGUGGAUAACUAGAUGAAAGUCUUAAAAGGAUCAUAGCAUAUAGUUGUGUAAUCUCUUUAAAAGGCUCAACUAUGGAAGUCCCAAAUUAAAAUCCCUCCCCUACUCUUCCCUCAACUCCACCCCCCACCCCACACGCCCUACCCACAGCAGUACACUAAGACUAGGCUUUGACAUUACUCUGAGACACUGCACUGAAACUGCUUGAAGCCAGGGAGAUAAGAGGGCCAACUGCCUAUGACUUUGUGAACACUCAGAAGGUAUGAAGCCUCUGGUAACCAUGUGUGAUGUUCUUUUGGUUAAGCUCUGUAUUUGAGUCUGAGAGCGCCACCAAGUGGAUCUGAGAGGGGUUGUUGGCGCAUGUUAUCUAAACAGAGAUGAUCAGCGCCCUCUACCUUUAUAAAUGUACAUUUAUUUCUUCCCUUAUAUUUUCUCCCAUUUCCCUAUCUUUUUUUUUUAAAUAAUUUUCGCUAUACAUUUCUUUCUCCAUUUGUUUUUCUCUCCCUUCAACUUUCAAAAUAUCAUUCACUGUUGUUACUUCAAUUUCUAUUUCCCUUAAUUUUCUGUUGAAUGUGUUUCUUUGCUGAAUAUAUGCACUGCACAUCCAUUAAGGUUUUCUUUAGCCACAGCAUUCACUGCUGUAGUGUCCAAAGGUAUUAUUAUUUGUCAAUUUGUUCAUUUAGAGUUGCUUUUUUUGCUUCAAAAUCCACAAUUUAAUUUCCAAAGAUAUCCGAGUGACUAGGAAUCCAGGCUAUCAGAAUAUUUUUUACAAUUUUUAUAGCUAGUAUGUAACUUCUGAAUAAUUUCAUAUAUAAUAUCUAUCCUAUCUCCUGCAUCCGAUUGUAAUGCCUGUAUCAAGUUUAGAGAAUCUGUAAAAAUCACGACAUUUUUUUCUUUCUAUUGCUCUAUUUUGCCUACGGCCAUAAGUAUUGCAAUCAACUCUACAGUAAAUACUGAUAAAUGAUUUGAUAAGCUUCCCCUUUUAUAUAUUUCAAAUUUGUGUCUACAGUAAGCAUACCCUCUUUUCCCAGAUUUACAGUAGGUUCUUUUGAUCCACCUGUGUAUAUCUGCAACGUUACAAUGUACUUCUUCAUCCGUCACAGCCCGCGUUUUAAAUCUCUGCCUUGAUUGUGCAGUUACACAGCGCUUCCUCCAAUUUCCCAUGAUGAAAAUAAAGCGAAAACAAAGCGAACCACACAAGCUACGGUAAUGUAAAAAAGUGAAUCAUUAAACAGUUUCAGAUACAGUGAUGCAUUUUUUUUUUGAAUCUGUGAUCUUUAGUUGCUUUUGUGCAUUUUCAUUAGCAAGUGAACUGAGACAUUAGGGUCUUAUCCAGCUCUAUAUUCUGCAAUUUUGAAGACUCUGGAUACUGUUCUAGUUGUGGAAACUGGUGUUGUUGUUUUCUUAAUCUUUUGCUCAAUUGUUUUGACUUUUAUGUUUUAUGCAGUUCUGUGUAUGGGUAACAUUUUUAUUUAAUUUUGCUGUUGGGAAUUUUUACUGCUACAAUACGUACCGGCUUUAAAAGUAUAGCAGCAAUGAGCUGCGGGGUUUCCAGGAUAUAAUGAGACAGACAACAGUUGCGGUUCAAAGCAGUAGGAAACCGUUGCAUUUUUUUUUUUUUUUUUAGCUUUUAGUGAUCAAUUCUCCCACUGUCAGGUCCUGCUUCUCUCUUUCAGACUGUCAUCUCCAUACACACUCCCCAAGUCCCUCCCAGUUCCUCACUCAUUGGUCCAAUGCUCCCUGUCUCUGACAGGUCGUGUCAGACCUGCUCCCGCUCCCACUUCUGUAGCUGUGUAUAUCUUUGCGUGCAAAAUACACAGUGGUGGCUGAAUAUGCCGCAUUAUUGAUCAUUAUUGAGAACCACAAUCCUGCAGUUUUUUAGAUUGCUUAGUUACUAAAUAAUAGGAAG